GCCCAGGCCAGCUAAAAAGUGAAGCCCAUUACUUAGCCCAUUUCCAUAACUACAAUUCAUGAUUCAUUCAAGUUUCGACCCAGUCCAAUUUCCAUCCAUUCCCAUCCAUUCCCCAAUUCAACCCAUUACCCAUUCCAUUACCUUCGCCUCAACAGCGCUACCUACUCUUUCCAGUCCCAGCUCGUCGGCACUGUCUCUACCUCUUCCUCCCUUGCUAUUUUACAGUCCCUGUUUGCCCAAGCCCUAGACAGCUAGACCGUAAACGCACUUAUUGGGUUACGGCAACAGCACAAGCAAACGUCGACGAUUUUUCGGCACCCGGUGAUUCUAAAUUUCCAUCCUGGUAUAAAAAAGGGAUGGACUUUUUUAAUCUUUUAUUGAGCUUUAUUUUGAACUUCCACUUCAGUUCUCCGUGUUCUGGAAAUGUAUGUUUUUAUUUGUUUCUAUUGUUUUGUUGAAAUUCCUUCACUUACCUUUUCUUGUUAGAAAGUUCGAAUUUUGAUUUUCCCAUCAGUCUUCUUUGCAUCUUUAACUGUUGAUUCUUCAUGUUACCUUGAUUAUUUUUGUAUGUGGGCAUCUAUUGUGUUUUGAAAUUCCUCCAAAAUUUGAGGUUUUCAGAAGAUGGUGGUCUAUUUUGCUCUUUUUUUUUUAUAUUAAUU
rnacentral:lncRNA from 1 species